CUGGGAUAACUUCGGGAAACCGGAGCUAAUACCGGAUAAUAUUUCGAACCGCAUGGUUCGAUAGUGAAAGAUGGUUUUGCUAUCACUUAUAGAUGGACCCGCGCCGUAUUAGCUAGGUGGUAAGGUAACGGCUUACCAAGGCGACGAUACGUAGCCGACCUGAGAGGGUGAUCGGCCACACUGGAACUGAGACACGGUCCAGACUCCUACGGGAGGCAGCAGUAGGGAAUCUUCCGCAAUGGGCGAAAGCCUGACGGAGCAACGCCGCGUGAGUGAUGAAGGUCUUCGGAUCGUAAAACUCUGUUAUUAGGGAAGAACAUACGUGUAAGUAACUAUGCACGUCUUGACGGUACCUAAUCAGAAAGCCACGGCUAACUACGUGCCAGCAGCCGCGGUAAUACGUAGGUGGCAAGCGUUAUCCGGAAUUAUUGCGCGUAAAGCGCGCGUAGGCGGUUUUUUAAGUCUGAUGUGAAAGCCCACGGCUCAACCGUGAAGGGUCAUUGUAAACUGGAAAACUUGAGUGCAGAAGAGGAAAGUGGAAUUCCAUGUGUAGCGGUGAAAUGCGCAGAGAUAUGGAGGAACACCAGUGGCGAAGGCGACUUUCUGGUCUGUAACUGACGCUGAUGUG
rnacentral:rRNA from 1 species